rnacentral:miRNA from 1 species
UCAUCAAGAUGAUGAUUCAAGAUGAAGAUUCAAGACGAUGAUUCAAGAUGAAGAUUCAAGAUGAAAAUCUUGAAUCUUCAUCUUGAAUCAUCGUCUUGAAUCUUCAUCUUGAAUCAUCAUCU